UGUGCUGGAGGAGGAGGAUGAAAUGCAAACCUGGCAACCCGCUACGUGAAGAUAAGCAGUACCACUCUCCUCCUCCUCCUCUCCGUUCAUUUUCCAGACCUUUCCAUCUUCCACACGGCGCAGGAAACGGUCCAACAGUCCAGCGUACAUGUAUGAGUGUGUGUGUGUGUGUGUGUGUGUGUGUGUGUGUGUGUGUGUGUGUGCGCCUCCUCUCCUAGUCCAGCCCAGUGCUCCAUACUGGGUGUGUGUGUUCAGGCAGAGGAGGCAGAGCAGAGCAGUGGAGUGACCCAUUCCACCCUCAGCUGCAGCGUGGCUCUGAGGUGGAAGACAUCCCUGCUACAACUAACUCACUACAGCCGCUGUCACUAUGACAACAGUCACUAUGAAAACAGUCACACUCAGAGAGACCUGGUCUGUCCUGGUCUGAGGUUUCACAUGUGUGUGGGAGAUGGUGUGUUAAUUCUACGACUGUCAGGGUGACAAUAAUGAUAAUAUCUCCAUCCAUCUUCUCUCUCUCUCUCUCUCUCUCUCUCUCUCUCUCUCUCUCUCUCUCUCUCUCUCUGCUCCAUCAUCACAUCCUGCAGCUCCGGCGACCGUCCACCAGAUGGCGCCGAUAGCAGGAAGACAGAAGCUGAUGUCACUGUUCACCUGAGUGGAUCAGUUUGUAUCAUUGACUGUAAUAAACAUUGGCUGAGAGGUUGUGUGUUGUUUAUUAUUUUAUUUACUUUUAUUUAAAAAUGUCUGAACUUGAUGCAACAGACGAAUAAAGUCGGAUUGUUUCAGGUUAA